GGCAUAAUGGUGGGUGCCUGUAAUCCCAACUACUUGGGAGGCUGAGGCGGAAGAAUCACUUGAACCAGGGAGGCUCACAAAAACUUUUUCACAAUUAGGGGCCCAUUAAUCUUUGAUAUUGACCUUAAAAUAUUUUGUUAAGACAUUUUUACAGUGUUCACAUACUACAUCAUACACACAUUCUAAAUUAUGAAAGAAAAGGAUUAUGUAAGCAACUUCCAAAAUUUCCAGAUACUUAGUUUAUUCCAUCAAAAUUCAGGUGGUUGAUUUAAAACCUAACUCUGAAGCCAAUUCUGGAUCUCAGACUACCUGCACGGGAAUCCUAGUGGACCAGUUCAAGCAGAGUUCAUAUAGCUACAUGCUUUGCAAUGCUAUGGGCCAAAUAAUUUCCAUGAAGGCUGUUUUAACUCCUUUUAAUGGUUUUCAAAUAAUAUUGUUGAUCUACAGAAAAUUAACCCCAGGAUUUCGGUGUCCAAUAGAGCAAACUCUUAUUGAUUUGUAAGGAUAACACAUUUCUGGAAUGCGGAAUUUUCUCUUGCCAAUUUUACAAAUUCUAGUCAAGAAACCUUUGGGACUAGGUAUCUUUGUGAAUUCAGAAUUCUCCAGAUUUUGAACCAUAAUGUAGUACACAUACUUUACAUAUGUUAUGUAAUAUUCUUCAGGAGAAUGAGUCAGCACCCUGCAACCACAAUAUUUCUGAAGCAAAAUUUAGGAAUAUUAACACUAAAUGGGAUAAGUAAAGACAAAAAUAGCCUCAAAUCAGCACAGAUU
rnacentral:lncRNA from 1 species